UACGUAGGGCGCGAGCGUUGUCCGGAAUUAUUGGGCGUAAAGGGCGCGUAGGCGGCUAGAUGUGUCAAAGGUGAAAUCCCUCGGCUCAACUGAGGAACUGCCUUUGAAACUGUCUGGCUUGAGGCCGGGAGAGGGUAGCGGAAUUCCCAGUGUAGCGGUGAAAUGCGUAGAGAUCAGGAAGAACACCGGUGGCGAAAGCGCUCUGCUAGGCCGCAACUGACACUCAUGGACGAAAGCUAGGGGAGCGAAUGGG
rnacentral:rRNA from 1 species